CACGUAGGGGGCGAGCGUUGUCCGGAUUUAUUGGGCGUAAAGAGCUCGUAGGCGGCUCGGUAAGUGAGGUGUGAAAACUCCAGGCUCAACCUGGAGACGCCACCUCAUACUGUCGUGGCUAGAGUCCGGUAGGGGAGCAUGGAAUUCCUGGUGUAGCGGUGAAAUGCGCAGAUAUCAGGAGGAACACCAGUGGCGAAGGCGGUGCUCUGGGCCGGAACUGACGCUGAGGAGCGAAAGCGUGGGGAGCAAACAGG
rnacentral:rRNA from 1 species